rnacentral:rRNA from 1 species
UUGCGUAGGUGGUUGUUUAAGCAAAGCAUUAAAUCGUAGGGCUCAACCCUGCGGUCGUGUUUUGAACUGAGCAACUGGAGUAUGGCAGAGGUAGCUGGAAUUUCCGGUGUAGGAGUGAAAUCCGUAGAUAUCGGAAGGAACACCAAUGGCGUAGGCAGGCUACUGGGCCAUUACUGACACUGAGGCACGAAAGCGUGGGGAGCGAACG